GAUGAACGCUGGCGGCGUGCCUAAUACAUGCAAGUCGAACGGUAAGGCCUCUUCGGAGGUACACGAGCGGCGGACGGCUGAGUAACGCGUAGGAACGUACCCCAAACUGAGGGAUAAGCACCAGAAAUGGUGUCUAAUACCGCAUGUGAUCUUCGGAUUAAAGCUUCGGCGGUUUGGGAACGGCCUGCGUAUGAUUAGCUAGUUGGUGAGGUAAUGGCUCACCAAGGCGACGAUCAUUAGCUGGUCUGAGAGGAUGAUCAGCCAGACUGGGACUGAGACACGGCCAGACUCCUACGGGAGGCAGCAGUAGGGAAUUUUCCGCAAUGGGCGAAAGCCUGAUGGAGCAACGCCGCGUGCAAGAUGAAUGCCUUCGGGUUGUAAACUGCUUUUAUAUGUGACGAUUAUGACGGUAGCAUAUGAAUAAGGAUCGGCUAACUCCGUGCCAGCAGCAGCCGCGGUAA
rnacentral:rRNA from 1 species